ensembl:lincRNA AI427809 expressed sequence AI427809
CCCUUUGCCCAGCGCUUUAUAGCAUAUCGCCUCUUCUAUGGGGCUCCUCAAGAACUGUAUUCCAGAAAUUCCUGGAAAUGUGUCCUCUUCAGGAGGCGGUGUUUACAUCUUACCAUCUUACUGGACUCUUCCUGUGAGGCUCCUCACAUCCCUUUAAGAAGAGCAGCAUUUCCCUCGUGUGAAAUGUAGAGGUGAGCUCGGCUUCCUGUUUGCCGGGAGUAUCUAAAGCAGCGGUUCUUACCCUGUGGGUUGAGACCCUCAGAGGGGUCGCAUCUCAGAUGAUAUCCUGCAGUCAGAGAUCCUGCACAUCAGAGACCCUGCAUAUCAGAGAUCCUGCACAUCAGAGAUCCUGCACAUCAGAUAUCCUGCAAUCAGAGAUCCUGCACAUCAGAGAUCCUGCAAUCAGAGAUCCUGCAAUCAGAGACCCUGCACAUCAGAGAUCCUGCAAUCAGAGAUCCUGCAAUCAGAGACCCUGCACAUCAGAGAUCCUGGUUGAUGCUUACCACAAUGCCAAAGGAACUGUAUUAAAGGGUUGCAGCAUUAGGAAGGUUAAAAACCACUGGAAAAAGGCAAAUGUCUGAACAAUAACUGUUUG